rnacentral:lncRNA from 1 species
CUGGGCCGCCUUCUAUGUAACAGUGGUAUAUUAUAAACAUGUGAGAUAUAAUGUGAAAACAACAACUCUGUUUUUUUGUGGCUCUACUUGAGGAAAAAAUAUUUGUAACAAUUUAUUUGACAUUUUUGUGGAUAACGAGGAAUACAUUCAAAACCCCUGGAUGCUGCUGUUCGUCACUCCGACCAACAUUGUCAAAGAAGAACCUCUGAGCGAAGGUCUUUGCAAAGGAAGAAAAGAUUUUAUGAAACCAAGGCCAUUUGCCUGUCUCCUGGCUUCAAAACACACAAGUGAACAAGACGCCGAUUGCUGGCCCAGCACAGAAACUGACUGCGACCUGAGUUGGGCACCUGAAAACGCAUCAGUCCAGCACUGA